UCCGAGUUGUAAUUUGCAGAGGGUGCUUUGGCAUAGGCGGCGGUCUAAGUUCCUUGGAACAGGACAUCGCAGAGGGUGAGAAUCCCGUAUGUGGGCGCCUGCCUUUGCCGUGUAAAGCCCCUUCGACGAGUCGAGUUGUUUGGGAAUGCAGCUCUAAAUGGGAGGUAAAUUUCUUCUAAAGCUAAAUACUGGCCAGAGACCGAUAGCGCACAAGUAGAGUGAUCGAAAGAUGAAAAGUACUUUGGAAAGAGAGUCAAAAAGCACGUGAAAUUGUUGAAAGGGAAGCGCUUGCAGCCAGACUUGCCCGUAGUUGCUCACCCAGGCUUUUGCCCGGGGCACUCUUCUGCGGGCAGGCCAGCAUCAGUUCGGGCGGUUGGAUAAAGGCCUCUGUCACGUAUCUCUCUUCGGGGAGACCUUAUAGGGGAGGCGUAAUGCGACCAGCCCGGACUGAGGUCCGCGCAUCUGCUAGGAUGCUGGCGUAAUGGCUGUAAGCGGCCCGUCUUGAAACACGGACCAAGGAGUCUAACAUCUAUGCGAGUGUUUGGGUGUCAAGCCCGGGCGCGCAAUGAAAGUGAACGGAGGUGGGAACCCCUCGGGGUGCACCAUCGACCGAUCCUGAAGUCUUCGGAUGGAUUUGAGUAAGAGCAUAGCUGUUGGGACCCGAAAGAUGGUGAACUAUGCUUGAAUAGGGUGAAGCCAGAGGAAACUCUGGUGGAGGCUCGCAGCGGUUCUGACGUGCAAAUCGAUCGUCAAAU
rnacentral:rRNA from 1 species